AGUACUCUCUCUCUCUCUGUCGUAUCGUUGCUUUCGUUGCCGUUUUACUUUUUCCUUUCUGGUAUUUGUUUAUUGUUUGGAUCCACCUUAUAAUUAGCCCGUUAUCAUGAUGUUAAUGAUAAUUGAUAAUAAUAAUAAUAAUAAUCAGUGUCUUUUGCUUUUGGGGGAGGUCAAUUUCCCAAUUCUCACACUUUCGCCUUCUUAGUUACACUUGCACUCCAUCUUCUGGUUUCACAAGAGGUUGCUUGCUGAUUGAAAUAUUCAAGUUAUUAUUGUUUUGAUUGUUUCUUCUGUUGAUGUAAAUUUGUAUAUUAUGAGAAUGUCAUUAAAAAUUAUUUCAGGAAAGGAAAAUCUUAAUAUAUUGUCAAAAAAAAGUUACGAUUAUAUGAAUGGUCGCAUGUUAAAGUGGAUAUAUGCAGUGGUUAAAAGAUAUACAUAACAUGUUAAAAAUGCCUAAACAAGCUUUGGAUACAGUUUUAACAGUAGUUUUUGUUGAGAAUUUUUUUUCUUUUGUAUAUCAAGAGGCUCACUUUUUUCUAAGAUGUGUACUAGGAUGGAUGAAUACAUAUAACACAAGUGCUAAUAAAAAAUAGUUUGACUUCACGUGAAGUUGAUAACUAAGUCGUUAAAUAAUUUGACUGAUUUGACUAAAUUUUCAUUUAACAGUUGUCACCUAUCAACUUUACGUAAAGUCGACUGUACCUGAGUUUUCACCAAAAUAGUUUUUGAAUAGAUAUUGGUGCAUAUCAAGUUAAACAAACCUCACAAGUUAUAAUGUUAUAUAACUAAUUGUUCAAAUUAAGUUAUAUUGAUGCAGUACUAGUCUAAGGUUGUGUCUAAUUGAUAUAUAAAAAAAGGACUUUUAUUGUAGUAGCGAAGAUCCUAUAAUAUGCUCGGUUGUAACUGUGGCCAUUUAAAUAUUUCAAAGUCCAAAUAUCCCCAUGCAAUGAUAAUGAAGGAAGCAUGCAAAUUCAAUCUCUUCCGUAAAUAUACACAAAAGAUUGUAGGUAAAGGGUCCUACAUUUUUCAGGAAAUUUUUCACGCCCUUGUCAAAAGCAAUCAAAAAAGGAGAAACUUUUGUGUGGCCCCUGUAAGGUGGUGGUGCCCCGCUGGUGGGUCAAUUGAUUCUUGAUUGUGUUUGGACCCCCUUUUUCCGAGUCUUUGUCGAUUUGUCGGAGCCAUUUAAUUUCUUCUGCUUCCUUUAUUUUUAAAUUUCGUCUGGUACCACUUAUGCUCAAGAGUGAAAGACUACGCAAGACAAAAAUAUGAAACUACAAGGUGCACAUGAAAUAUAAACUGAAACCCAUAUAGGUUGUUGGUCCCACUUGACGAAUUUUGAUGUAAUGGCUAGUUAGCUACCAAUAUUUUACUAUUGGGUGGUCUAUGAAAAAUACAAACUCAAUAAAUCAGAUUGUUUU